GCCAGUGUGGUGUAGUGGUUUCAGCAUAGGACUACGACUGGAGGCCAGGGUUUGAAUCCCUUCUCAGCCA